CCUGGUGAAGAUAGCGCGAGUGAAACACACGAUCCCAUCCCGAACUCGAAAGUGAAACCUCGUUGCGCCGAUGGUACUUUAGUUUACUACGGGAGAGUAGGAAAUUGCCAGGC
rnacentral:rRNA from 1 species